UCGUUUAGAAAUUUGGUAUUGCCUCUUGGGAUUAUUCUUUGUUGUCAAAAUUAUUGAGAUAGCUUUGUUUUGGCGUUGAUAUUUGAAUUUGUAUUUGUACUCUUUGAACUAGUUAAUCAUGUCAAUAUGUUUUGGAGACUUUAUUCGUUUGUACCAUUGUUCGUAUAUUUUCGUUCACACUCAGAGUUGUCUUGAUCAUUGAUAUCUUGUAAUAAUUGGGUAUUUUUGUAUUUGAUAAUUCGAUUUCAUUUGAAUAUGGUCAUGUAAGCCUUGUGAUUUGAACCCCUUUUGGCUUACAUUUUGUAGUUUGAUCCUUAGGGUAUACUUGAGCUAACCACCUGUGGGGGUACCACAGGCAUGUCCUCUUAACAUAAGGGCAUGACACCUUCCGUGG
rnacentral:lncRNA from 1 species